rnacentral:rRNA from 1 species
UACGUAGGGUCCAAGCGUUGUCCGGAUUUAUUGGGCGUAAAGAGCUCGUAGGCGGUUCCGUAAGUCGGAUGUGAAAACUCGGGGCUCAACCCCGAGACGCCAUCCGAUACUGCGGUGACUUGAGUCUGGUAGGGGAACACGGAAUUCCUGGUGUAGCGGUGAAAUGCGCAGAUAUCAGGAGGAACACCGGUGGCGAAGGCGGUGGUCUGGGCCAGUACUGACGCUGAGGAGCGAAAGCGUGGGGAGCGAACAGG